ACACCCUAGAUAUAGAAAGCCAAGAGAUAAUAGGAUACUCACAGCUAGAGAAAGGGCAAACUUUGUAGGAGGUGGAGAAGAUGUGCCUGCUAUAUGCCAGGUAAACAAAACCCUUUCUCACAACAUACAUGUUGUUGGGAAAGAGAGUAAGCACAA